rnacentral:lncRNA from 1 species
GUGAAGGAAUGGAUCCUGAAGCUCUAUAAAACAAUUUUUCUGGAGAUCCAUUCACAAAUAAGAAGUAAGAUUUCUUGUUCUCUCUCUCUUUCUCUCUUUUUCCAAAAAAAUAGAGACAGACAAGUCCUCUAUUUUGGCUUGUUCUGCAAAUAUUUAAUAUUUUGCAGGUUGGCCUCGUCAAUUCUUGUUAGAUAUGAUCCUAAAAGCACAAAACACAACACGCUCAAACGUAAUUCAUAUACACAUCUACACACAAAUUCAAACAUAAAACACGCUCAAACAGAAAACAUAAGACAAACAAAACACGCUCAAACACACAUGACACGUCUAAACACAAACUCAAACAGAAAACAUAAUACAAACAAAACACGCUUAAACACAGAAAAGCAAGACACAAACACACAUCUAAACGCCUCAAAUUCAAAUAAAAACAUAAGACAAACAAUACACAUUCAUUUACAUAUUCACUGUCAAGAGAAUUUUGCUUUGAGCUCGUUGUUUUCUCUUAAAUUUUAAAGCAUCUAUUUUUAUGUAAUUGUUUCUCAAUAGUUAGACACUUUAUUUACUUUUUAAUUUAAGUUAAGUGUGUAACCUUGAUUUUCUUUUUGUUGAUCAUGUGCAACUACUGCAAAGCAAAAUUCAACCAGACUACAUAUUUUGCAAGGUAUGUGGUUUAUAUAGUAGUUAUCUGAAUUAAAUCACAAUUAAGUUGUUUUGGGCUUCUGAUGUAUACAAGUUUUUCUAAUAACAUGAUUUUUGUUAACCCAGGGGUUUCAGUGUCAAGUUCAGCCUUAGUCUAUUCUGGAGAGUAAGUUUGGCUUUCUCUUUUGUUUUUAGAUAUGUGUAAUUGUUUUCUAGUUAGGCAUUGAUUUGGCUUUUCGGCUUUGAUUCAGUUAGUUGCCUUAGGUUUGGUGAAGUUGGAGGGCAUCAUGCAUGUAACCUCAUCAAAAUAACAAGUACGAGUAAGCAACUAAACGGUGCCAGCCACUACUCAAGAUGCUAUGGGUUUUAUUUUUUAAGAUAUUUUGAGUUUUCCUUGGUUUCAGAAGAACAUAUAUUUAGGAACAAAAAGGUUUGAAGACCAUCCAGUCAGC